CACGUAGGGCGCGAGCGUUGUCCGGAAUUAUUGGGCGUAAAGAGCUCGUAGGCGGCCUGUUGCGUCCGCUGUGAAAGCCCCGGGGGCUUAACCCCGGGUCUGCAGUGGAUACGGGCAGGCUAGAGGUAGGUAGGGGAGAAUGGAAUUCCCGGUGUAGCGGUGAAAUGCGCAGAUAUCAGGAGGAACACCGGUGGCGAAGGCGGUUCUCUGGGCCUUACCUGACGCUGAGGAGCGAAAGCGUGGGGAGCGAACAGG
rnacentral:rRNA from 1 species